rnacentral:tRNA from 1 species
GUGGAUGUAGCUCAGUUGGUUAGAGCGCUGGAUUGUGGUUCCAGAGGUCGCCGGUUCGACCCCGGUCUUUCACCCUA